rnacentral:lncRNA from 1 species
CACAGAUGCACCUGGCACUACUCUUCAAAGUGUGGUCAGCAGACCUUAGAAAUACAAAACUGCAGAUUUAUUGAAUCAGAAUCUGCAUUUUAACGAGAUUCUCAGGUGAUUCAGGUGCAUGUGAGAGUUUUGCCCUUCCCCUUCCUUCUUCUUGGUACAUAGACAUGUGGAGAUGGACGAGCUUUUUGUGACCCUGAAGCAUCAAACCACACGCUGAGGAUAGCUGUACAGAAGGAGUCCAAAGAAGCUCCCAACUGCCUACGUCCAGACCUCACUUACACAGGUCAUAUAUACUGCUUCUUUAGUGAACUGAGAUGUAAGCAGCAUGGUAGAUUUGAAACAUCACGGGAUCCACAUUCAGCCCUAUUUGGACUAUGAGAUCCCACAUUCCUGAACAGAGGUGACUGCAUUAGGAGUAAGCACUUGAUACAGACUGAGUUGAUGAACAGUGACUUGGCCAAAUUACAGGAGAUUUUGGAUAAAGAGAAAUGGAACUACACUGUGAGGAUGCAGAGGAGAAUGACUGACAAGUUAAGGAGGGCAGGGACAAUAAACCUCUCAGCUUUGGUUUCUGUAUCUACUAAAAGAAACAUCAAAAGGCAAGACAACAAAGCAGCAGACAAGCUCAUUGCUGGGAGUGACUCAUGGUGCAGAGUUUGAUAAAUGUCACAGAGAAAACCAGAACCUUUUAACUCCUACUUUUGAUCCUGAAUACCCUGUUAUGAAGAAGACUUUUCAUACUGAAAAAGGUAGAGGAGAUCAGUAAAAAGUAAGACUGGGAAGACUACUCUAAUGAGAUCAAGUAUCUUUAACUGAAGACUUGACAUUCUAAGACAUUAUCUAGCUUUAGUUAUUACCAUUUUCAUAAACAUCAGUUUAUAAGAUUAGCAAAGCCAGCAGGAAUGGUCCAAAGACCCUUAAUUUAAAUGAAAAACAGGCACAGAAUGGGAUGAUGCAUGGAAUGAAGUUUGACAUACACUGUAUUGAGAAAACUUUAGGUAUUCUGAGGGCAGCCUGAAGACUCCAUGCACCCACCCAUAGCACCAGCUAGACAACAGGAAGAGAAGGCGAGAAAGAAUUAGUGACAAACUUUCCUACCUUUAGAAUGUGUCUUCAGGUUGUAAUUCCCGUGUGGGACCUAAUUUCUUGAACAUCUGCUCUGCGCUAGGUGCUUCACAUGCUACCUCAAUUAGUUCAUGCAACCUUGUGAGAUAAAGACUUAAGUUUGAAUUUCCCUGGCUACAAGUCCAUGGUUUUUCUAUUAAGCCAUGUUGGAUGGUGUCAAUUGGUGACAUCAUCCAUGUGAACAUUCCUCAUGUUUAGAUCUAGCAGGACAAUGUGGCAUAGAGAGGGGUGGUCAGGAGAACUGAGUUCUUAGCCUGGUCCCAAGGCCACCUCUUGGGAAGUCCUUUCACCACUCUGGGGUCCAGUUUCCAAAUCCAGAGUCUCCUCUAUCUAACAUUUUCAGAUGAAAUAAAAUCCAGUGAAAGACAUAAUAACGGAAUAAAUAUUUUCAGCUAUUAUCUUAAAUGGAUUACUUCAAUAUUCAUCUUUUGUUUAAAUCUACAUCUCAUUUCUCUUUAGGUAGUAUCUUUUUGAAAAGCUGUCAUUUCAAAGUACUGAAAACCUAAAAUCUAGGCAAUGAAAGUAGAGUAAAUGACUGAGGUUUUCCUAAAAUUACCCUGGAAAGAUGAGAGGAUUCAACUACUGUUCUGGGAAAUGGAAAUAGCUGUUCCCAGCACUCACUCCUCCCCUGAUGCUCCCAAUUAACUUUUAAGGACAAGCAUGAAGCUUUGUAGAGCUUGAUGCCUUCUGCAAGCACUACAGUAAAUGUGGGGCAUAAAUUGCCUCCCAUUAAGACAACUGUGGAGGAUGACAGAAGUAGGUCAGUUUCAAACAACAGCCUAGCUUAGUAGCCUAAGUGGUAUCUGUAAUUCUAGGGUUGGGGCAUCUUUGAAAGCACUGGCUAAAGGAAAAGUUAUUUAACCCUUCUUUGCUGAAUUUUCCAGCUCUCUCCACUUCUUGAGAGAAAAUGUCAACUGUUAUUGUCAGAUAGAAUAUGAAAAUAGGUAGCACAGCAAGAACAUGACAAAUGUUUAAUAAAUUACAAAGUAAAUAUAAAUGACAAGUGUUUAAUAAUUGGAUUUUGGCCCACAAGUGAGGUAUGAUCCAGGUACUGGAGCCAGUCCAGAUGUUGUAUCGGACUGGUCCUGUUAUAAGCCAGAUUCCACCAGUAUAAAAAAGUUGAACACAGGGAUGGAAUGACUCCUCAGGGUAAGAAAGGGAAAGGGGGAGUUCUGAAGGAAGGCCAUAUUUCUGGCUGGGACACUGGCUUCUGACAGAUUUCCAGUGGUUGACUGCAUCCAACACUUCAGGCUUCAAGCUUUGGCUCUAGACCUACCUCCCUGCCCCAUGUUCUCGACCUUAGCAUUUGGGAAGGCUGUGGGGUCUUCACUCUUCACUGCCGCCAGGUUCUCAAUCCUUUCCAUAGUUUUGGCAUUUUCUCUCUCCCCCUGGCUGCCAUGGACCCAUUCUUGCUUUGGGUCUAAGUCAAAACAUCCCACUCAAACCAAUACCUUGUGAGGAAUGAGGCUCCACUGUACAGAAGCAACGAGCUGAUGCCAGUUAAGACCUUAUAAAGUGAGGGGUCUUGGGCAUUUCACCCCCGUGUACUCCUUACUAUAAAUAAACACCCUUAACCAGGUGGUAGAAUGUUAUUCAGGAAAACAGGCAGAAGGCUUUAAAUAUGUUAGCAGAUCCUUCUAUCCUUCCUUUUCUCUUUGUUUAGGUUUCCCAGGAAUGUCUUGUACAGGAACAAGUUUUUGCUGAGAACUGAGGACUUCAGAAACAUUUAUUUCCAUAAAUAAUAUACUAAAUGCAUAUAAUUUUUCUCUAGUUGCUAAUACUGGGACUUGGAUGGGUCUUCCAGGACAAUAGGUGAAGGGUUAAUUCCACAUACUAUACACAAAUUGGUAUUUCUCUAAAAUAAUGUUUUCAAACUAAUGAUAACAAUCCACAGUAAGAAAUACAGUUUACACAGCAAUCCAGUAUAUUCACACACAGAAACACAGACAUAUAAAACUAACAUUUCAUGAAACCAUACUUUUCCUUACAACAUGCAAUGUACUCUAUUCUCAAUUCCAUCCCAUCCUCCCUAUAAAAAAAUGCUAACAAGACCUAUUAAAUUGAUUUUACGACCCAGUAAAUGGGUUUUGAUGUGAUGAAAAAAAUAUUGUGUAUAUUUUUUUCAUACAUUGUAAUUGUUCAUAUUCUGUAUUUCUUCACUAAUUUAGACUGUUUUAUUCUCAAUUAUACUACAAUAGCAAAUAUUUUGCAAGAUUGGGCUAAAAAGUCUCUGUGGCCAAAUGAAUAUAUAGUUUUGAAAUCUGGCUGCAGAUGUGCUGAUUGGCAAAGAACAUUUAAUUAGUCACAUAAGGUACAUCUUUAAAAAAUAUUAUUUCCACUGAAAAUCAGCUAUAAACAUAUUUUCUUUUAUAAAUACCAAAUUAAUAUUAAAGAAGAAAUCUUGCAAAAUUCUUUCUACCAAUACCAAAAGAUUUCUAAUGCAUGGACUAAAAACUCUGUUAUAGGAUUAUCAGAAACAGAUGUUUUUGAUAUUCAAUCUUUCUUAAAUGUAAAAUAUGAAAACCAAGCAAACAAAGCAUUCUGCCUCUUCCAUGCAGUUUUAAUCAUAAUACAGUUUUACUUAAUUAGCAAAUACAGAUGGGGCCUUAAUAAGAACAUUUUAAAUGUAAGAGGUUUUUGUGAUAAUAUAAUCCCACUAGUAAUGAUCAUGUUAUCAUCAUUAUGUAAUUUAGAAAAUUUAUGAGUCAGUGAAAGUCAUUUUCAAGAUGGUAUACAGAAGUCGACCUCAUAACCUCCAUUCCAGCCAAAUGGCACAGCUCAAACUUCCUGAAUAUGCUUACAUAUUUUUUGUUUUAUUACCUUUAUUUCUAACUCUUUCUUGAAGUCUUCCCAGUCAUCAAGCUGGAAAAAAAAAUCCCUCCCUCCCCUGAAAUCACGUAUGGCUUGUUAAGAACACUUGCUAUAUUAACCUCCCUGGGCUUUUCUUUGUAAUUGGUCAUGUAAAUAUUAUACCAACCCUGACUGACUGAGCUUCUUGGAGCUCAACUCUGUAUCAUACUUAUUUCUAUACACUCCCCCAACACCCAAACAACACCUUGCUGUGGCAGGUGAUCAAUAAAUUUUUGUUGGUUAAAAUGAACAUUUUGAACAACAGUGAAAAUAGGCAUUUAUCUAACCUGUGAAGAUGGUGCUACUGUACAGUGCUGUAAAUACAUACCAACUCAUGAGUCUAAUAAGUGGAGACCCAGCACUGCUUGGCCUUUUCAAGUUUUUCCCUUUUGGUGUAUUCCUUUACAAAUCUUUCCCCGCUUUAUAGACUAAAUAGCAUCCAUCAUGUUAAGUCAGUGAAUCCCAUUUAGCAAUUAAAGGUGAUUACAAGAGCUAUCAGGCAUCUGCUUUCAAUAUUAUUCCAGGCAUGGGAAAUUAGUAAUGGCCUGCCUUUUCCCUCAAACCACUGCCUAAUGCCUUGAUUUUUGGAAGAUUUUGCCAAACCUGCUUUGUGGUCUUGCCUUGCUAAGAUCUGGAAGAAUUUCAUAUUUUCUCUGAAAGUAUUGCUAAAAAGAAUAAAAAUAUCCUAGAAUGGGUUGGGUGGUUUCCCUAAUUGAAUACAUGGGCCUGAAACACUCCUGUAUUGAAACUAACUCUAUAUACAUGGCAUGUAACCAGUAAAAUGAAAAGCAGAUGCUGUAAUUUUCACGUAAUAAAUUCAUAUGCAAUCUCUUAAGAUAGUUGAGUGUACUUCAGAAAGCCCAGUAGAGAAAAGACAUGAAUAAGUGCGGUUAGCCUAGAAGCGGACAGAAAUUUUAUAAUGGGGUGGGUAGGUGGGCUGGGGAUGGACAGAGACGUGGAAAGAGCUACAACCUCACUUAAAGCAAUGCUGCCCCCAUGUGGAUACCAAAAAUUAGAAUCUGUAACUCAGUCAACAGCUCUUUAUUCUCCUUAGUAAUAAGACCUUCCACUUCCUGUAAUUUCAAUUUGAUGGCUGUUGCUAGGACAACUAGGAAACGAGGCAAGGAACAGACAGACCUCCAAAAAACAAACAAACAAACAAACAAACAAAAAAAACAAACGAAAAAAACAGGUCACUGAAGUGAAGUUACUAUAUUAAUUCUAACUUCUAACAGGAACACAGGAACAGUGGCCCUGCCAAGGGAAAUGCGAAACUGAAUCUAAAAUGAGGUGCCACUGUCCUGAAAAAUGAUGGUUGAGGUACACAGUGCUCAUGUUCAGGCUGUGUGAUAGACUCAUCUAUCAAAGAGUGCUUGUAAAUGCUUCCCUUGGAAUUGGAUGACAAAACAACUUUAUCUCAGUAUGCACGCAGUGGGAAGGAAAAAUUCAUUUUUUAAAACCUGUAGUCACUUUAAGUUAAUCACUCUGACAAGUAUUUCUGUUUGCAGUUGAAUUGUCAAACAGAUAAUAAAACAAAAUAAACAUGGUGUAGAGAGGUCUCUAGGCAAAACUGCAGUUAAUGUACCUCGGUAAAAAUGGCAGGAGUAUUCCAAAGUAUUACAGAAAUGUGAAAACUUGAAAAGCUGAAAAAGGUUAAGAUGAGUUCUAAUGUUUCAUUUAGAUCCUUAUUAGGAAGUGACUACUCUAUCUGAGUCUAUACUGACUAAAAAGUGUCUUGUUCACGUGCUGCAAUAACUUGCACCGGGAGGUAGAGUAGGUACUGAAUGUGUGCUUCACACUUCCCCUCAAGGACUCAGAAAUGAAGCUAGAAGGGAAUAUGGAGUUCAUUCACAUCCAAUCUCCUCUUUUUACAGCUGAUCUAACUGCAACCUGCAGAGGUUAAGUAACUUGCUCCCAAACCCACAAAGUUAUUUCUGGUGAAGCCAAGACUAGAACUCGGUUUUCUCAACCUUCAUUCCAAGGCUCUUUUGUCUCCUUGUGUUCUUAGAUGGAAAUGCCUGUGUCUGUUAUUACACCUCAACACUGAAGUAUGUGUGCAAAGUCACUGGGUUUCUACAGAUGUUAUUCUGCAUGUAAAUUUUAUCUUAUUUCUCCCCAAGUGACUUUAAAUUUGGAGCAAUUUCAAAAUUAGCAUUCUUUUGGAUAAAGAUUUAGUUGGCUUCAAUCCCAGCACUCUGGGAGGCCAAGGCAGGCAGAUCAUGAAGUCAGGAGAUUGAGGCCAUGCUGGCUAACAUGGU